rnacentral:ncRNA from 1 species
AUUUCUACCCAAUGCUCUGAAUGUUAAAGUGAAUGAAUUAAACCAAGCAUGUGUAAACGGUGGGAGUAACUAUGACUCUCUUAAGGUAUCCAAAUGCCUCACCAUCUAAUUAGCAAUGCACAUGAAUGGAUUAGCUAGAUUCCCACUAUCCCUAUCUACUAUCUAACGAAACCACAACCAAGGGAAUGGACUUGGCAUAAUCAACAGGGAAAGAAGACCUUGUUGAUAUUGACUGUAGUCCAACUUUGUGAAAUGAAUUGAGAGUUGUAUAAUAAGUGGGAAUCAUUUUCGACACAAAUGAAAUACCACUACUUUUAACAAUAUUUUAUUUAUAAUUUUGUGGGGUGGAGAUGAGGCAGUUACCCUAUUUUUGGCCUUAAGUCAUGUCAAAACCCUAUAUAUUAUUAAAGAUGUCAAAACCCCUAUCCAUGAGCCUAUGUUUAAAUACAAAUGGAAUAAAAAACGUGGAUACAAAAAUGCCACUCAUUCCUCCUCAGGGUCCUCCCUAGGAUCUUGUUGUAUCUCAUAAUGUUGCACACUCCAUUGAUAUCCAUGU